UACGGGGGGGGCAAGCGUUGUUCGGAAUUACUGGGCGUAAAGGGCUCGUAGGCGGCCAAUUAAGUCGGAUGUGAAAUCCCCAAGCUUAACUUGGGAACUGCAUCCGAUACUGGAUGGCUUGAAUCCGGGAGAGGGAUGCAGAAUUCCAGGUGUAGCGGUGAAAUGCGUAGAUAUCUGGAGGAAUACCGGUGGCGAAGGCGGCAUCCUGGACCGGCAUUGACGCUGAGGAGCGAAAGCUAGGGGAGCAAACGGG
rnacentral:rRNA from 1 species